rnacentral:ncRNA from 2 species
UUUGUCUUAUCUGCUUCUGGUUCCCCGUGCCCGCUGGCCGGGGAUGAAACGGGAAGCCGGUGCCCUGCCAACCGUUGGCACGAGAGCCGCUGAGUAAUCAGUGGGCUCGGGAUAUCCAAUAGAGGGUAUGGAAGUCCGGCGCUGCCCCCGCAACGGUAAGCGAGUCAAGGCGCUGCUUUAUGCCACUGUGCUUAACGCAUGGGAAGGCGCGGCGUCAGGCAUGAUGCCUGCUUGCAAGCCCGGAGACCGACCUGGAGCUCUUGCCGGUU